AAAGCCCCGAAAGGGGCAAGUAGAGUGGCAAACGGGUGAGUAACACGUGGGUGACCUGCCUUCGAGCGGGGGAUAACGUCCCGAAAGGGACGCUAAUACCGCAUAACAUCCUGCCUUUGAAGAGGCGGUGAUCAAAGCUGGGGAUCGCAAGACCUAGCACUCGAAGAGGGGCCCGCGUCCGAUUAGCUAGUUGGUGAGGUAACGGCUCACCAAGGCAACGAUCGGUAGCCGGCCUGAGAGGGCGGACGGCCACACUGGGACUGAGACACGGCCCAGACUCCUACGGGAGGCAGCAGUGGGGAAUUGUUCGCAAUGGGCGCAAGCCUGACGACGCAACGCCGCGUGGAGGAUGAAGAUCUUCGGGUCGUAAACUCCUUUCGAUCGAGACGAAUUCCUUCGGGGUGAACAAUCCCGGAGGUUGACGGUACCGAGAGAAGAAGCCCCGGCUAACUCCGUGCCAGCAGCCGCGGUAAUACGGGGGGGGCAAGCGUUGUUCGGAAUUACUGGGCGUAAAGGGCUCGUAGGUGGCCAACUAAGUCAGACGUGAAAUCCCUCGGCUUAACCGGGGAACUGCGUCUGAUACUGGUUGGCUUGAGUUUGGGAGAGGGAUGCGGAAUUCCAGGUGUAGCGGUGAAAUGCGUAGAUAUCUGGAGGAACACCGGUGGCGAAGGCGGCAUCCUGGACCAACACUGACGCUGAGGAGCGAAAGCCAGGGGAGCAAACGGGAUUAGAUACCCCGGUAGUCCUGGCCCUAAACGAUGAAUGCUUGGUGUGGCGGGUAUCGAUCCCUGCCGU
rnacentral:rRNA from 1 species